CGCUAUCACUCCUACGGGGAGGCACAGUGGGGAAUAUUNCACAAUGGGCGCAAGCCUGAUGCAGCCAUGCCGCGUGUAUGAAGAAGGCCUUCGGGUUGUAAAGUACUUUCAGCAGUGAGGAAGGUGGAUAUGUUAACACCUGAAUUAUUUGACGUUACCUACAAAAAGAAGCACCGGCUAACUCCGUGCCAGCAGCCGCGGUAAUACGGAGGGUGCGAGCGUUAAUCGGAAUUACUGGGCGUAAAGCGCAUGCAGGCGGCCUGUUAAGUCAGAUGUGAAAGCCCGGGGCUUAACCUCGGAAUUGCAUUUGAAACUGGCAGGCUAGAGUCUUGUAGAGGGGGUAGAAUUUCAGGUGUAGCGGUGAAAUGCGUAGAGAUCUGAAGGAAUACCAGUGGCGAAGGCGGCCCCCUGGACAAAGACUGACGCUCAGAUGCGAAAGCGUGGGGAGCAAACAGGAUUAGAUACCCUGGUAG
rnacentral:rRNA from 1 species